AUGUACGUCUGGCCGACAUCGGCCCAAUAUCGAAACGUCGGCCUCUAUACCUAAAACAUCUAUAAAACAUCGGCCUGGCGGAGGCCGAUAUAAUUUGGUCAGUGCUCUGUUCUCCAGCUCAUCAAUCGUCGGCCCUGAGUUGGUUCACGACCGCGGGCCGAUGCUGCGCUUCUCUGUGUACGCGUGCCCAGUAUUCGUCUCUUUUAGCCACCCAGAGAGAGAGAAGAGGAUAAUCCCAGCGACAUCUGUGGCUCUGAGGCUUUCAGAAAUAAUCCGGUGAAAUAAUAUGAUGUUUGUGUAAAUGCUGUGUGUGCAUUGAGUCCUGCGCGAGCGGGGAGCAGAGUUGCCAUGGAAACGGGGCAUCAACACAAAAACCGUUACUGGCAAGCAGUAAUCUCCGUCUCUCGCUGCAGUUUACACUGUUUUGGAAACGGUUUAGUUUCUUCGAAAAAGUCCGUUAGCAUCUUAGCAGUUUUCAGGUAGGCUAACUAUAUAGAUUGAGCUCUUGUUGAUGAAACUCUGGGCUUUUAAUCAAAUCUUCGUGUGUGUAUGAGAUAUUUUGAUGGCACUUUGAAUGUUUUGCUGGUGAUUUGUCAGUAUGUUAUUGGAAAAGGCUGAUUUACUGAAUCGAUGACGUCACUUACAGUGAGAGUGUAAUCGGCUGAAAUCAAGUUCACAUUAGUUUCGAUAUUUCAUGAUAAACAGAUAUUAAUACAAAUUGUUAUGUGAUUUCAGGAGGACAGAAAGAAACUCUACAGAACAGAAGUGAAGCUCCGAGAUUUCAACAUUUCUGAAGGGAGAUUCUGACUUAGAAAUACAGGUGACCUGAAGAAGCUCAUGAAAAACAUGAAUAUGCCUUUUUCAGAAUACAUUUCACCAAUUUUAAGAAGUCGCUGACAUCAUAACGUAAGUCACACUCAACCUAAAACUAAAAAUAUAGAUUGUGUUAUUUUAAGAUUAUAUUUUUAGUAGUAGAAUAUGUAUAUUACAUGUUAUUAUAAUUGUUAUAUAUUAUUCUGUCUUUUAUCUCCAUUUCACCUCUACUCUAGCUUGUUUCCUUCUAAUGAACCUGGAACUGUAGAGUAAAUAUUGUUGACUCUGUGUCAGAUUGCUUGUUUUGUUCCUGGAUUCUUCAGUGAUGAUGAGCAGAGUCUGAGUGAACCUGCUGUCAGACAGGUUGGCCUGAUUGACGAUGUCAUCGUCCAUCGCCGAUGCCUGAUAGACAUCACGAUGCUGCGCCGGCAAACAGCGUCAUCAGCUCCAGUAUCUCGCCCGUGCAUCUGUUGUCAUGCGACAGAGAAGUCACGUUCUAU